rnacentral:rRNA from 1 species
AUACGGAGGCUGCGAGCGUUAAUCGGAAUUACUGGGCGUAAAGCGUACGUAGGCGGUUUGCUAAGUCAGAUGUGAAAGCCCCGGGCUUAACCUGGGAACUGCAUUUGAUACUGGCAGACUAGAGUAUGAUAGAGGGGGGUAGAAUUCCUGGUCUAGCGGUGAAAUGCGUAGAUAUCAGGAGGAAUACCAGUGGCGAAGGCGGCCCCCUGGAUCAAUACUGACGCUGAGGUACGAAAGCGUGGGGAGCGAACAGGAUUAGAAACCCCAGUAGUCC